rnacentral:rRNA from 1 species
UACGUAGGGCGCAAGCGUUGUCCGGAAUUAUUGGGCGUAAAGAGCUCGUAGGCGGUCUGUUGCGUCCGCUGUGAAAACUCGGGGCUUAACCCCGAGCCUGCAGUGGAUACGGGCAGACUAGAGGUAGGUAGGGGAGAAUGGAAUUCCGGGUGUAGCGGUGGAAUGCGCAGAUAUCAGGAGGAACACCAAUGGCGAAGGCAGCUCGCUGGGACGGUACUGACGCUGAGACGCGAAAGCGUGGGGAGCAAACAGG